rnacentral:tRNA from 1 species
CGGGGAGUAGCGCAGCCUGGUAGCGCACCUGCUUUGGGAGCAGGGGGUCGAAGGUUCGAAUCCUUUCUCCCCGACCA